GUUGGUGAGCGUGGUACAUAUUCGCGAUGACCAGUGCCCGCUGCCUAGCGGCAUCAUCGCGCAAUAUCUCAAGCAAGCCAACGGGCAUCUCUCCUGUCUCAAGGUAAACAAUAUGACAUGCGUCACUUCAGGUAGCGUUGGUGAGUGUGGUACACAUUCGCGAUGACCAGUGCCCGCUGCCUAGCGGCAUCAUCGCGCAAUAUCUCAAGCAAGCCAACGGGCAUCUCUCCUGUCUCAAGCAACUGUACGUGACGGGCGAGCAGUGCGAUCCGGCCGAGCGGUACGCGGGCGCAGAAUCUGCGUUGUGCUGCGUGUGCGCCUCGGCGCCGCUGUCGCGCGCGCUGCUGCCCUGCCGGCACGCCUGUCUCUGCGCACACUGCUUGCCAAAGCUAGACAAGUGUCCGAUCUGCCGCAGCGCCAUCACGUCCUAUUUCUGCAUCCGAAAUGACGAAGAACCGCUCUCCGAGCUCAAGCAGCAACGGUUCCCUUUCAACAGGCGGCUCUUCAACCUGUUCCACUACCACUAGUGGAACUAGUCCCAUCACUGCUAACAUCACAUCCUACUUCUGUAUUCGAAACGAUGAAGAACCGCUCUCCGAGCUCAAGCAGCAACGCUUCCCGUUCAACAGGCGGCUCUUCAACCUGUUCCACUACCACUAGAGGGACUAGUUCCAUCUAGUUCCAUAACUGGUGACAUCACAUCCUACUUCUGUAUCCGAAACGAUGAAGAACCGCUCUCCGAGCUCAAGCAGCAACGCUUCCCGUUCAACAGGCGGCUCUUCAACCUGUUCCACUACCACUAGUGGGACUAGUUCCAUCUAGUUCCCUAACUGGUGACAUCACAUCCUACUUCUGUAUCCGAAACGAUGAAGAACCGCUCUCCGAGCUCAAGGAGCAACGCUUCCCGUUCAACAGGCGGCUCUUCAACCUGUUCCACUACCACUAGUGGGACUAGUUCCAUCUAGUUCCAUAACUGGUGACAUCACAUCCUACUUCUGUAUCCGAAACGAUGAAGAACCGCUCUCCGAGCUCAAGCAGCAACGCUUCCCGUUCAACCUGUUCCACUACCACUAGAGGGACUAGUUCCAUAACUGGUGACAUCACAUCCUACUUCUGUAUCCGAAACUAC